rnacentral:tRNA from 1 species
AUUGCUUUGGCAGAGUAGUGCAUUAAAUUUAGAAUUUACAUAUGUAUCAGAAGUACAGGCAAU